UACGGAGGGGGCUAGCGUUGUCCGGAAUCAUUGGGCGUAAAGCGCGUGUAGGCGGUCCGGUAAGUCCGCUGUGAAAGUCGGGGGCUCAACCCUCGAAUGCCGGUGGAUACUGUCGGGCUAGAGUGCGGAAGAGGCGAGUGGAAUUCCUGGUGUAGCAGUGAAAUGCGUAGAUAUCGUAAGGAAGACCAGUGGCGAAGGCGGGUCUCUGGACAGUUCCUGACACUGAGACACGAAGGCCAGGGGAGCAAACGGG
rnacentral:rRNA from 1 species